CACACAGACACAGAAGAGACACACUUGUCAGUUGUUUUUUUUUUGUUUGUUUUCUUUUUCUUUUUCUUUUCCUCGGUCUCCCCCUGUGUUGUG
rnacentral:ribozyme from 2 species